ACUCCUACGGGAGGCAGCAGUGAGGAAUAUUGGUCAAUGGACGCAAGUCUGAACCAGCCAUGCCGCGUGCAGGAUGACGGCCCUACGGGUUGUAAACUGCUUUUAUACGGGAAUAAUGUGUCCUACGUGUAGGAUUUUGAAGGUACCGUACGAAUAAGGAUCGGCUAACUCCGUGCCAGCAGCCGCGGUAAUACGGAGGAUCCAAGCGUUAUCCGGAUUCAUUGGGUUUAAAGGUCCGUAGGCGGGUCUUUAAGUCAGAGGUGAAAGCCUGCAGCUCAACUGUGGAACUGCCUUUGAUACUGGAGAUCUUGAGUGUGCGUGAAGUAGGCGGAAUAAGUCAUGUAGCGGUGAAAUGCAUAGAUAUGACUUAGAACACCGAUUGCGAAGGCAGCUUACUAAAGCACUACUGACGCUGAGGGGACGAAAGCGUGGGGAGCGAACAGGAUUAGAUACCCUGGUAGGCUCU
rnacentral:rRNA from 1 species